UACGAAGGGGGCUAGCGUUGUUCGGAUUUACUGGGCGUAAAGCGCACGUAGGCGGAUUGUUAAGUGAGGGGUGAAAUCCCAGGGCUCAACCCUGGAACUGCCUUUCAUACUGGCAAUCUAGAGUCCGGAAGAGGUGAGUGGAACUCCUAGUGUAGAGGUGGAAUUCGUAGAUAUUAGGAAGAACACCAGUGGCGAAGGCGGCUCACUGGUCCGGUACUGACGCUGAGGUGCGAAAGCGUGGGGAGCAAACAGG
rnacentral:rRNA from 1 species